rnacentral:rRNA from 1 species
AUACGGAGGGUGCAAGCGUUAUUCGGAAUCACUGGGCGUAAAGGACGCGUAGGCGGGUUGGCAAGUCAGAUGUGAAAUCCUACAGCUUAACUGUAGUACUGCAUUUGAAACUGCUAACCUAGAGUAUGAGAGGGGGAGAUGGAAUUAGUGGUGUAGGGGUAAAAUCCGUAGAUAUCACUAGGAAUACCGAAAGCGAAGGCGAUCUCCUGGAACAUAACUGACGCUAAGGCGUGAAAGCGUGGGGAGCAAACAGAAUUAGAAACCCCAGUAGUCC